AAACGUUUGAAAUCAGUCAUGCGUGCGGGUAAUCAGCUUGGCCUUUGGGUCUUGUGCACUUUCUCGUUUCGCAGGUCAGCGUCGGUUUUGUUUGCCGGAUAAAUGCCAAGGGAAUGUAGCUCUACCUUUCACGAGGAGGGGUGUUAUAGACCUGGUAAAUACGGUGGUCGAGACCGAGGUCUGCAGUCGAUGCCUCUCGGGGCUGGGGACUCUAUCGCUCAUUCUCACCCGCGCUUAGACAGCUUGC
rnacentral:rRNA from 1 species